CUAAAUGGUGGGUGAGCGUUCUAAGGGCGUUGAAGCAGGAUCGUAAGGACAUGUGGAGCGCUUAGAAGUGAGAAUGCCGGUGUGAGUAGCGAAAGACGGGUGAGAAUCCCGUCCACCGAUUGACUAAGGUUUCCAGAGGAAGGCUCGUCCGCUCUGGGUUAGUCGGGUCCUAAGCUGAGGCCGACAGGCGUAGGUGAUGGAUAACAGGUUGAUAUUCCUGUACCACCUAUAAUCGUUUUAAUCGAUGGGGGGACGCAGUAGGAUAGGCGAAGCGUGCGAUUGGAUUGCACGUCUAAGCAGUAAGGCUGAGUAUUAGGCAAAUCCGGUACUCGUUAAGGCUGAGCUGUGAUGGGGAGAAGACAUUGUGUCUUCGAGUCGUUGAUUUCACACUGCCGAGAAAAGCCUCUAGAUAGAAAAUAGGUGCCCGUACCGCAAACCGACACAGGUAGUCAAGAUGAGAAUUCUAAGGUGAGCGAGCGAACUCUCGUUAAGGAACUCGGCAAAAUGACCCCGUAACUUCGGGAGAAGGGGUGCUCUUUAGGGUUAACGCCCAGAAGAGCCGCAGUGAAUAGGCCCAAGCGACUGUUUAUCAAAAACACAGGUCUCUGCUAAACCGUAAGGUGAUGAAUAGGGGCUGG
rnacentral:rRNA from 1 species